UCCCUGAUGGUCCAGUGGUUAGGAAUCUGCACUUCCACUUCAGGGGGCCCAGGUUUGAUCCCUGGUUGGGGAA